CCUACGGGAGGCUGCAGUGAGGAAUAUUGGUCAAUGGACGAGAGUCUGAACCAGCCAAGUAGCGUGAAGGAUGACUGCCCUAUGGGUUGUAAACCUCUUUUAUAAAGGAAUAAAACGAGGCACGUGUGCCUUUUUGCAUGUACUUUAUGAAUAAGGAUCGGCUAACUCCGUGCCAGCAGCCGCGGUAAUACGGAGGAUCCGAGCGUUAUCCGGAUUUAUUGGGUUUAAAGGGAGCGUAGAUGGGUUGUUAAGUCAGUUGUGAAAGUUUGCGGCUCAACCGUAAAAUUGCAAUUGAUACUGGCAGACUUGAGUACAGUUGAGGUAGGCGGAAUUCGUGGUGUAGCGGUGAAAUGCAUAGAUAUCACGAAGAACCCCGAUUGCGAAGGCAGCUUACUAAACUGUGACUGACAUUGAUGCACGAAAGUGUGGGUAUCAAACAGGAUUAGAUACCCGAGUAGUC
rnacentral:rRNA from 1 species